UACGUAGGAGGCAAGCGUUUGUCCGGAAUUACUGGGCGUAAAGCGCGUGUAGGUGGUGGGACAAGUCUGCUGUGAAAGCGCCUGGCUUAACCGGGCGAGGUCGGCGGAAACUGUCCGACUCGAGGACGGUAGAGGGGGGUGGAAUUCCCGGUGUAGUGGUGAAAUGCGUAGAGAUCGGGAGGAACACCUGUGGCGAAGGCGGCCCCCUGGGCCGGCCCCUGACACUGAGACGCGAAGGCGUGGGGAGCGAACGGGG
rnacentral:rRNA from 1 species